rnacentral:rRNA from 1 species
GACAGAGGUUGCAAGCGUUGUUCGGAAUUACUGGGCAUAAAGCGCACGUAGGCGGUCCGCUAAGUCAUGUGUGAAAUCCCCCGGCUCAACCGGGGAAUGGCGCCUGAUACUGGCGGACUCGAGAUCGGUAGGGGUGAGUGGAAUUCCUGGUGUAGCGGUGGAAUGCGCAGAUAUCAGGAGGAACACCGGUGGCGAAGGCGGGUCUCUGGGCAGUAACUGACGCUGAGGAGCGAAAGCGUGGGGAGCGAACAGG